CAAUAGCGUAUAUUUAAGUUGCUGCAGUUAAAAAGCUCGUAGUUGGAUUUCGGGUGGGAAUGGCCGGUCCGCCGUUUCGGUGUGCACUUGCUACGCCCACCUUGCUGCCGGGGACGUGCUCUUGAGUUCACGCUCGGGACACGGAGUCGGCGAGGUUACUUUGAGUAAAUUAGAGUGUUCAAAGCAGGCCUACGCUCUGAAUACAUUAGCAUGGAAUAAUACGAUAGGACUCUGGCCUAUCUUGUUGGUCUGUAGGACCGGAGUAAUGAUUAAGAGGGACAGUCGGGGGCAUUCGUAUUUCAUUGUCAGAGGUGAAAUUCUUGGAUUUAUGAAAGACGAACUACUGCGAAAGCAUUUGCCAAGGAUGUUUUCAUUAA
rnacentral:rRNA from 1 species